rnacentral:rRNA from 1 species
GGUUAAGCGACUAAGCGUACACGGUGGAUGCCCUGGCAGUCAGAGGCGAUGAAGGACGUGCUAAUCUGCGAUAAGCGUCGGUAAGGUGAUAUGAACCGUUAUAACCGGCGAUUUCCGAAUGGGGAAACCCAGUGUGUUUCGACACACUAUCAUUAACUGAAUCCAUAGGUUAAUGAGGCGAACCGGGGGAACUGAAACAUCUAAGUACCCCGAGGAAAAGAAAUCAACCGAGAUUCCCCCAGUAGCGGCGAGCGAACGGGGAGGAGCCCAGAGCCUGAAUCAGUGUGUGUGUUAGUGGAAGCGUCUGGAAAGGCGCGCGAUACAGGGUGACAGCCCCGUACACAAAAAUGCACAUGCUGUGAGCUCGAUGAGUAGGGCGGGACACGUGGUAUCCUGUCUGAAUAUGGGGGGACCAUCCUCCAAGGCUAAAUACUCCUGACUGACCGAUAGUGAACCAGUACCGUGAGGGAAAGGCGAAAAGAACCCCGGCGAGGGGAGUGAAAAAGAACCUGAAACCGUGUACGUACAAGCAGUGGGAGCCUCUUUUAUGGGGUGACUGCGUACCUUUUGUAUAAUGGGUCAGCGACUUAUAUUCUGUAGCAAGGUUAACCGAAUAGGGGAGCCGAAGGGAAACCGAGUCUUAACYGGGCGUUAARUUGCAGGGUAUAGACCCGAAACCCGGUGAUCUAGCCAUGGGCAGGUUGAAGGUUGGGUAACACUAACUGGAGGACCGAACCGACUAAUGUUGAAAAAUUAGCGGAUGACUUGUGGCUGGGGGUGAAAGGCCAAUCAAACCGGGAGAUAGCUGGUUCUCCCCGAAAGCUAUUUAGGUAGCGCCUCGUGAAUUCAUCUCCGGGGGUAGAGCACUGUUUCGGCAAGGGGGUCAUCCCGACUUACCAACCCGAUGCAAACUGCGAAUACCGGAGAAUGUUAUCACGGGAGACACACGGCGGGUGCUAACGUCCGUCGUGAAGAGGGAAACAACCCAGACCGCCAGNUAAGGUCCCAAAGUCAUGGUUAAGUGGGAAACGAUGUGGGAAGGCCCAGACAGCCAGGAUGUUGGCUUAGAAGCAGCCAUCAUUUAAAGAAAGCGUAAUAGCUCACUGGUCGAGUCGGCCUGCGCGGAAGAUGUAACGGGGUUAAACCAUGCACCGAAGCUGCGGCAGCGACACUGUGUGUUGUUGGGUAGGGGAGCGUUCUGUAAGCCUGUGAAGGUGURCUGURAGGYAUGMUGGAGGUAUCAGAAGUGCGAAUGCUGACAUAAGUAACGAUAAAGCGGGUGAAAAGCCCGCUCGCCGGAAGACCAAGGGUUCCUGUCCAACGUUAAUCGGGGCAGGGUGAGUCGACCCCUAAGGCGAGGCCGAAAGGCGUAGUCGAUGGGAAACAGGUUAAUAUUCCUGUACUUGGUGUUACUGCGAAGGGGGGACGGAGAAGGCUAUGUUGGCCGGGCGACGGUUGUCCCGGUUUAAGCGUGUAGGCUGGUUUUCCAGGCAAAUCCGGAAAAUCAAGGCUGAGGCGUGAUGACGAGGCACUACGGUGCUGAAGCAACAAAUGCCCUGCUUCCAGGAAAAGCCUCUAAGCAUCAGGUAACAUCAAAUCGUACCCCAAACCGACACAGGUGGUCAGGUAGAGAAUACCAAGGCGCUUGAGAGAACUCGGGUGAAGGAACUAGGCAAAAUGGUGCCGUAACUUCGGGAGAAGGCACGCUGAUAUGUAGGUGAAGUCCCUCGCGGAUGGAGCUGAAAUCAGUCGAAGAUACCAGCUGGCUGCAACUGUUUAUUAAAAACACAGCACUGUGCAAACACGAAAGUGGACGUAUACGGUGUGACGCCUGCCCGGUGCCGGAAGGUUAAUUGAUGGGGUCWGCGCAAGCGAAGCUCUUGAUCGAAGCCCCGGUAAACGGCGGCCGUAACUAUAACGGUCCUAAGGUAGCGAAAUUCCUUGUCGGGUAAGUUCCGACCUGCACGAAUGGCGUAAUGAUGGCCAGGCUGUCUCCACCCGAGACUCAGUGAAAUUGAACUCGCUGUGAANAUGCAGUGUACCCGCGGCAAGACGGAAAGACCCCGUGAACCUUUACUAUAGCUUGACACUGAACAUUGAGCCUUGAUGUGUAGGAUAGGUGGGANGCUUUGAAGUGUGGACGCCAGUCUGCAUGGANCCGACCUUGAAAUACCACCCUNUAAUGUUUGAUGUUCUAACGUGGACCCGUGAUCCGGGUUGCGGACAGUGUCUGGUGGGUAGUUUGACUGGGGCGGUCUCCUCCUAAAGAGUAACGGAGGAGCACGAAGGUUGGCUAAUCCUGGUCGGACAUCAGGAGGUUAGUGCAAUGGCAUAAGCCAGCUUGACUGCGAGCGUGACGGCGCGAGCAGGUGCGAAAGCAGGUCAUAGUGAUCCGGUGGUUCUGAAUGGAAGGGCCAUCGCUCAACGGAUAAAAGGUACUCCGGGGAUAACAGGCUGAUACCGCCCAAGAGUUCAUAUCGACGGCGGUGUUUGGCACCUCGAUGUCGGCUCAUCACAUCCUGGGGCUGAAGUAGGUCCCAAGGGUAUGGCUGUUCGCCAUUUAAAGUGGUACGCGAGCUGGGUUUAGAACGUCGUGAGACAGUUCGGUCCCUAUCUGCCGUGGGCGCUGGAGAACUGAGGGGGGCUGCUCCUAGUACGAGAGGACCGGAGUGGACGCAUCACUGGUGUUCGGGUUGUCAUGCCAAUGGCACUGCCCGGUAGCUAAAUGCGGAAGAGAUAAGUGCUGAAAGCAUCUAAGCACGAAACUUGCCCCGAGAUGAGUUCUCCCUGACCCUUUAAGGGUCCUGAAGGAACGUUGAAGACGACGACGUUGAUAGGCCGGGUGUGUAAGCGCAGCGAUGCGUUGAGCUAACCGGUACUAAUGAACCGUGAGGCUUAACCUU